GCGAAAUUCCUAAAGGGGGGCGAUAUUCCUAGGAGAUUCGCCCCCCGGGGGCGAAUAUCCUAGGAAUAUCGCCCCCCUUUUGAGAGGGG